ensembl:lncRNA
GCUGCAGCUUCAUCUGGCAGAUGUCUGCAGGAGUCUGAAUGGAUACAUGUUGCCAUUAAAUGCUAUUAGACUGAAUUAUCCUAUUCUUCACUGGCCAGAUCUCUGCAGGAUCUGCAAGUUUGUCAAGUCAAAUAUACAGCCUAAUGAUGUUUCUUUAGCAUCUCAUUAUGCUAAUCAGUCGCUGGUUCAUGAGGGUCUACAGCGUGUUCCAGCAGCCCAUCGUGAUGAUCACUGCCUGCGUUUGUUCUGUCAGGUGUUUUGUUUCCUGAAGCUCUGAGAAGGUGCUGGAUUCACUCUCACACUCCAUUAGUGAUUGGCGUUUGAAAAAAAUCAUGAUGCACUUGUGCUUUUCAGCCUUUCGCUCCUCUUUACUUAAACUUGAAAUUCAGUAUAGCAUCUAUAAUACAGCCUUCAUGCUUUUAAUGUGAAACUAGUCACAGCUAGACAGACUUUCUUCUCAAACCUUAUAAACAGUAACUUAAACAACACUCUUUUUGCUACUACUGAGAGACUGACAAACCCCCCCCACCCCAACCUCAAGUCAAAUUUCCAGUGAAAUUCUCUGAGACAGCAAAUGCAAUGAGUGUGCUUCCAUCUUUUCUGAGAAGAUCAAUAAUAUCAGGAAGGCAAUUAGCACAUCCCCAAGUUAUGCAGAGGUCAGACAGAUUCGACUGCAAUAUCAAAAAGAAGAUAUUAUGUCUGCUUUUGAAGAAACUCAUAGCAAAAUUUUGGAAGAAAUAGUACAGCACCUUAAAUCGCCAACCUGCUAUCUUGACACACUUCCCACAUAUUUUUUUACAAAAGUGUGCUUAACUGUUUAGAAGCAGAUCUCUUAGAAUUGGUGAACGCCUCACUUCUUUCUGGGACUUUUCCAAACUCCCUGAAAACUGCAGUUGUUAAACCCCUUCUGAAAAAGAGCAAUCUUGAUAACACCGUAUUGAGCAACUGUAGACCAAUAUCAAAUCUUCCUUUUAUAGGCAAGAUUCUUGAAAGGCAGUCUUUAAGGAGCUGAACAAAUACUUAAACUCAAAUGGAUACCUGGACAAUUUUCAAUCUGGUUUCCGACCACAUCACAGCACAGAGACAGCGAUCAUUAAGAUAAUAAAUUAUAUUCGCUUUAAUUCUGAUUCUGGCA